AUUGAACGCUGGCGGCAUGCCUAACACCUGCAAGUCGAACGAUUGGCGCACGGGUGAGUCAUGUCUGGGAAACUUCCUGAUGGAUGGGGAUAACUACUGGAACCGGUAGCUAAUACCGCAUACCAUCAGCUGUGCCCAGAUUGGAUUAGCUUGUUGGUGGGGUAACGGCUCACCCAGGCCACGAUCCCUAGCUGGUCUGAGAGGGUGACCAGCCACACUGGAACUGAGACACGGUCCAGAGUCCUACGGGAGGCAGCAGUGGGGAAUAUUGCACAAUGGGCGCAAGCCUGAUGCAGCCAUGCCGCGUGUAUGAAGAAGGCCUUCGGAUUGUAAAGUUCUUUCAGCGGGGAGGCGUUACCCGCAGAGAAAGCAACGGCUAACUCCGUGCCAGCAGCCGCGGUAAUUC
rnacentral:rRNA from 1 species